AUGGAUAGUGGUUCGCCACAUUCCUUUAUCACACAAGCUAAUCGGCUAUGCCCAGUAAAAUUAGACGAAAAUUAGUCUUCGGCACGGAAAAAUUCUCAUCAAGCUGAAUUUUGCCAUACACCUUUAUAACGUCGUCAUAAACAAUGUGUAAUAAGUUUACUUCGAAAUCAUGGCGAUUAAAAAGCUAUUCUAAUUCAUAGGUCAAAGGUCACGAAAUUAUAUUUUUUAUGAUUAUCUCGCUUUCCAUUGGUCGUACGAUAAGAAGUUUUAGAUAAAAAUUUUAGAGGAGAAAAUUAUCUAAAAGAUGGUUUUAUUGUUUUAUAUAUAUAUGUAAUAGAACUUGGUGUGUUCACCAUUAACAAAAUUACAAGAGUAUAAAACUGUUAAAAAUGCAUUCGUUUUAUGUGUGAUGUAACAUAUUUUAGAGUAGGUACUGGAUCCGGCUGCCGGCUAGUUGGUUGUUUGUGAUAGGUAUAGUGUAUAUGUAUAUAUUUUUGAUUUAAAGACCGGUUAUUAUGUUGUAAAAGAAUCUUAUUCUCCCUACUUUUUUUAACAACAUCUGCCGAACCAUCUAUACAUACCGACGCCGCUGCACGUACGCCAUCGACCAUUGUACGACAUUUAGUUGUGUUUGGACCAUACCAACGUCGUCGUGUUCUGUGUGAAUAUACAUCGUAAUUUAAUAUUAUUUUGGACUAAGGUAUAAUGGACUAAAAACCAUCAACUUAUCAGUGGCCACGAAUGUAUGUACAAGAGGCAAGUGUGGAGGUUUGCAUUUACGGACGUAGCCUAUUUGGCUCCCGUUUUAUAAAAAGGUCAAUUUCCAACAGUCUUCCGUCAAAAAAGGUUUUACAAACAGUUUUAAACAGUGUUGAUUCGGUGAUGUACUAUGCUGAAACAAGUAUGCAGUAUGCCCACAAAGAGAACAUUGCCGCAUAUAAAAUACAACGAGAUGAAAACGCCGCAGAUCCACCGUGAGCAUCCUUCACCACAUUAAAACCAAAGAUACUGACACAGAUGAAGACGAAUACAUGGGUACUGAAUAUCUAGUCUUGAAUUUUCAAAUAUGAACUAAAUAACAAAUAUUUACCUAUCUAUUUAUUUAUUGCCAAAUAUGAAAAAGAAAUGUAUGUCGUAUGUCUUUUUCCGAUUUUAAAACACUGUGCGCCGUCCCCAAAGUUGAUGACC